rnacentral:rRNA from 1 species
AACGAACGCUGGCGGCAGGCUUAACACAUGCAAGUCGAACGCCCCGCAAGGGGAGUGGCAGACGGGUGAGUAACGCGUGGGAAUCUACCCAGUUCUACGGAACAACACAGGGAAACUUGUGCUAAUACCGUAUACGCCCUACGGGGGAAAGAUUUAUCGGAAUUGGAUGAGCCCGCGUUGGAUUAGCUAGUUGGUGGGGUAAUGGCCUACCAAGGCGACGAUCCAUAGCUGGUCUGAGAGGAUGAUCAGCCACACUGGGACUGAGACACGGCCCAGACGCCUACGGGAGGCAGCAGUGGGGAAUCUUGGACAAUGGGCGCAAGCCUGAUCCAGCCAUGCCGCGUGAGUGAAGAAGGCCUUAGGGUUGUAAAACUCUUUCGCCGGUGAAGAUAAUGACGGUAGCCGGAGAAGAAGCCCCGGCUAACUUCGUGCCAGCCGCCGCCGUAACAC